GUUGAGAGUGGGUAGUCCGCACGAGCGCAACCUCACUUUUAUAUUGCCAUCAUUAAGUUGGGCACUCUGAAAGAACUGCCAGUGAUAAGCUGGAGGAAGGUGGGGAUGACGUCAAGUCCUCAUGGCCCUUACGUGUUGGGCUACACACGUGCUACAAUGGCAUCUACAACAGGAAGCAAAACGGCAACGUUAAGCAAAUCCCGAAAAGAUGCCUCAGUUCGGAUUGCACUCUGCAACUCGAGUGCAUGAAGCUGGAAUUACUANUAAUCGUGGAUCAGCGUGCCACGGUGAAUGCGUUCCCGGGUCUUGUACACACCGCCCGUCACACCAUGGGAGUUGGUUCUACCUUAAGGCAAGGUUUUAAACCCUUGACCACGGUAUAGUCAGCGACUGGGGUGAAGUCGUAACAAGGUAGCCGUAGGGGAACCUGCGGCUGGAUUACCUCCUUUCU
rnacentral:rRNA from 1 species